CUUUUUGAGAGUUUGAUCCUGGCUCAGGAUGAACGCUGGCGGCGUGCCUUAAGCAUGCAAGUCGAACGCCCGAACAAAUUUUCGUAAGAAAAUUUGCGCGGGAGUGGCGGACGGGUGAGCACAAGCAAGGAACGUACCCAAAAGUAUCGUAUAGCUCGUCGAAAGACGGGGUAAUUCGGUAUAGUAUCGCAAGAUUAAAGGGAGUAACUUCCCGCUUUUGGAGCGGCCUUGCGGCUAUCAGCUUGUUGGUAGGGUAAUGGCCUACCAAGGCUAUGACGGCUAGGGGGCGUGAGAGCGCGACCCCCCACAAUGGCACUGAGACACGGGCCAUACGACUACGGUCGGCAGCAACUGGGAAUAGUUGGCAAUGGGCGAAAGCCUGACCACGCGACGCCGCGUGAGGGAUGAAGGCCUUCGGGUUGUAAACCUCUUUUGCCCCCGCAUCGAGCGGGGGAGAAUAAGCGCCUACAAACUACGUGCCAGCAGUCGCGGUAAUACGUAGGGCGCAAGCGUUAUCCGGAUUCAUUGGGCGUAAAGUGUCGUGUAGGUGGUUUAUCGCAUCGUACCUGAAAGCUCGAGGCUCAACCUCGGUGUUGGGUACGAGAUGGAUAGACUUGAGGAAGGCAGAGGAAAGGGGAACUGAUGGUGGAGUAGUGAAAUGCGUUGAUAUCAUCAGGAACACCAAAGGCGAAGGCACCUUUCUGGGCCUUCCCUGACACUGAGACACGAAAGCUAGGGGAGCGAAGCAGAUUAGAGACCUGCGUAGUCCUAGCCCUAAACGCAUGUCUGCUAGAUGCCCUUUCACAGAGAGCAAGAGUGUUAAAAUGCUCGUGUUUUCCGUGAAGGGGUGUCGUAAGCUAACGCGUUAAGCAGACCGCCUGGGGAGUACGAUCGCAAGAUUAAAACUCAAAGGAAUUGACGGGGACCCGCACAACCGGUGGAGCGUGUGGUUCAAUUCGAGACAAAGCGAAGAACCUUACCAAGGCUUGACAUCCCGAAGUUCUAUCCCGAUGAAAGUCGGGAAAGUCCGCAAGGAGGUCGGGACAGCUGCUGCAUGGCUGUCGUCAGCUCGUGCCGUGAGGUGUUCCCUUAAGUGGGAAAACGAGCGCAACCCCUGCCUAAUGUUAUAUGUAUCAUUAGGGACCGCCCCGUCCUUUUGCAAAAGAUGGCUUAUUGGAAUCGAAUGUGAGAAAGGCGAAGCCGCCUUACGGCUACCUACUCACGAGAUUUCGUAGGUCUAUCGUUGGCAAAAGGACGGGGAGGAAGGAAGGGACGACGUCAAGUCAGCACGGCGCUUAUGCCUUGGGCAACACACACCCUACAAUGGCGAAUAACAAUGAGACGCAAAACGGUAACGUUAAGCAAAUCUCCAGUAAAUUUCGCCUCAGUUCAGAUUGGGGUCUGCAACCUGACCCCAUGAAGUCGGAAUCGGUAGUAAUCGCAGAUCAGCAGGCUGCGGUGAAUACGUUCUCGGGUCUUGUACACACCGCCCGUCAAGCCACCAAAGUUGGAGGCGGCCGAAGAGCCUCGCAAGAGGAGCUAAGCCGAAUUCAGCGAUGGGGACUAAGUCGUAACAAGGUAUCCCUAGCCGAAGCUGGGGAUGGAUCACCUCCUUU
rnacentral:rRNA from 1 species